CCUACGGGGGGCUGCAGUGGGGAAUAUUGGACAAUGGGGGCAACCCUGAUCCAGCCAUGCCGCGUGUGUGAAGAAGGCCCGCGGGUUGUAAAGCACUUUCAGUGAGGAAGAACGCCUGGUGGUUAAUACCCAUCAGGAAAGACAUCACUCACAGAAGAAGCACCGGCUAACUCCGUGCCAGCAGCCGCGGUAAUACGGAGGGUGCGAGCGUUAAUCGGAAUUACUGGGCGUAAAGCGCGCGUAGGUGGCUUGAUAAGCCGGUUGUGAAAGCCCCGGGCUCAACCUGGGAACGGCAUCCGGAACUGUCAAGCUAGAGUGCAGGAGAGGAAGGUAGAAUUCCCGGUGUAGCGGUGAAAUGCGUAGAGAUCGGGAGGAAUACCAGUGGCGAAGGCGGCCUUCUGGACUGACACUGACACUGAGGUGCGAAAGCGUGGGUAGCAAACAGGAUUAGAUACCCUGGUAGUC
rnacentral:rRNA from 1 species